UACAGAGGGUGCAAGCGUUAAUCGGAAUUACUGGGCGUAAAGCGCGCGUAGGUGGUUCGUUACGUUGGAUGUGAAAGCCCCGGGCUCAACCUGGGAACUGCAUUCAAAACUGACGAGCUAGAGUAUGGUAGAGGGUGGUGGAAUUUCCUGUGUAGCGGUGAAAUGCGUAGAUAUAGGAAGGAACACCAGUGGCGAAGGCGACCGCCUGGACUGAUACUGGCACUGAGGUGCGAAAGCGUGGGGAGCAAACAGG
rnacentral:rRNA from 1 species